rnacentral:lncRNA from 1 species
AAACGUGGAAGUAUUUGCGAAGGUGCCUUUGCUAACUGAGAGAUAUUUUAGUGAUAGUUCAGGAGGUAUUUUUGAUCGAGCUGUCUGAGCGAAGGACUUCUUUUCGUGCGCUGAAGCCGAGUACAAAUCCCCGUCUGAUGUCCCGGCGUCCGAUGAGUUGCACGCGAACCCCGUGGAGGAAACUCACCGUCUGCGUGCGUAAGCUGGAGGGACGCAGGGACUACGGGAUCUGCCCCAGCGAGCCAGGAGAUCAUCGCUUUCAACACAUACAGUAGAGAACGCAUCUGGAAACACUAUAGAAAUCGGGAGGUAGUGA